CUCCUCAGGGGCAGACCCUGGAACCACUGGGUUCAUACUGCCUGACAUCAACAACUGUACAGUCACAUCAACAACUGACAGAGCGUGCUGUCUGUAGCAGGAAGGCAAGGAGAAGUGAUCCCAGCCUCCAGAUGGAAAGAUCAAAGCCCAGAGAAGAGUCCUGAGUUGCUGCCCCAUCAACCAACCCGGACAACUCCCAAGAUCUCAGCCCAAGCCAGGCUGACAGUGUUGGCUUUGUACUUGCUUCCUGGAACACACCUGGCCUCAGACUCCUGAGGCCAAGAUACACUCCCUGCCAGCCACUCUGCCAUGGCUUGCCAGCUCUCCUCACCCAGGGACAACAGUGGUCAUCUGUCCACACCAGCCAGGUUCGUCAGGCCUCCGGGAGCUGCUUGAAUCCUUCCACAAUCUUGGGU